CGUGGUAUCCUGUCUGAAUAUGGGGGGACCAUCCUCCAAGGCUAAAUACUCCUGACUGACCGAUAGUGAACCAGUACCGUGAGGGAAAGGCGAAAAGAACCCCGGCGAGGGGAGUGAAAAAGAACCUGAAACCGUGUACGUACAAGCAGUGGGAGCACGCUUAGGCGUGUGACUGCGUACCUUUUGUAUAAUGGGUCAGCGACUUAUAUUCUGUAGCAAGGUUAACCGAAUAGGGGAGCCGAAGGGAAACCGAGUCUUAACUGGGCGUUAAGUUGCAGGGUAUAGACCCGAAACCCGGUGAUCUAGCCAUGGGCAGGUUGAAGGUUGGGUAACACUAACUGGAGGACCGAACCGACUAAUGUUGAAAAAUUAGCGGAUGACUUGUGGCUGGGGGUGAAAGGCCAAUCAAACCGGGAGAUAGCUGGUUCUCCCCGAAAGCUAUUUAGGUAGCGCCUCGUGAAUUCAUCUCCGGGGGUAGAGCACUGUUUCGGCAAGGGGGUCAUCCCGACUUACCAACCCGAUGCAAACUGCGAAUACCGGAGAAUGUUAUCACGGGAGACACACGGCGGGUGCUAACGUCCGUCGUGAAGAGGGAAACAACCCAGACCGCCAGCUAAGGUCCCAAAGUCAUGGUUAAGUGGGAAACGAUGUGGGAAGGCCCAGACAGCCAGGAUGUUGGCUUAGAAGCAGCCAUCAUUUAAAGAAAGCGUAAUAGCUCACUGGUCGAGUCGGCCUGCGCGGAAGAUGUAACGGGGCUAAACCAUGCACCGAAGCUGCGGCAGCGACGCUGAUGCGUUGUUGGGUAGGGGAGCGUUCUGUAAGCCUGCGAAGGUGUGCUGUGAGGCAUGCUGGAGGUAUCAGAAGUGCGAAUGCUGACAUAAGUAACGAUAAAGCGGGUGAAAAGCCCGCUCGCCGGAAGACCAAGGGUUCCUGUCCAACGUUAAUCGGGGCAGGGUGAGUCGACCCCUAAGGCGAGGCCGAAAGGCGUAGUCGAUGGGAAACAGGUUAAUAUUCCUGUACUUGGUGUUACUGCGAAGGGGGGACGGAGAAGGCUAUGUUGGCCGGGCGACGGUUGUCCCGGUUUAAGCGUGUAGGCUGGUUUUCCAGGCAAAUCCGGAAAAUCAAGGCUGAGGCGUGAUGACGAGGCACUACGGUGCUGAAGCAACAAAUGCCCUGCUUCCAGGAAAAGCCUCUAAGCAUCAGGUAACAUCAAAUCGUACCCCAAACCGACACAGGUGGUCAGGUAGAGAAUACCAAGGCGCUUGAGAGAACUCGGGUGAAGGAACUAGGCAAAAUGGUGCCGUAACUUCGGGAGAA
rnacentral:rRNA from 1 species